CACGUAGUUAGCCGGGGCUUCUUAGUCAGGUACCGUCAUUUUCUUCCCUGCUGAUAGAGCUUUACAUACCGAAAUACUUCUUCACUCACGCGGCGUCGCUGCAUCAGGGUUUCCCCCAUUGUGCAAUAUUCCCCACUGCUGCCUCCCGUAGGAGUUUGGGCCGUGUCUCAGUCCCAAUGUGGCCGUUCACCCUCUCAGGUCGGCUACUGAUCGUCGCUUUGGGUAGGCCGUUACCCUGCCAACUGGCUAAUCAGACGCGGGUCCAUCUCACACCGAUAAAUCUUUUCCGUCAGUAUCAUGCGAUACCAGCGGGUUAUGCGGUAUUAGCGGUCGUUUCCGAACUGUUACUCCCCCUGUGUGAGGCAGGUUACCCACGUCCGUUACUCACCCGUCCGCCACUCAGUCACAAAGCUUACAUCCGAAGAUCGUUCUUAAGUGCUUUCGUUCGACUUGC
rnacentral:rRNA from 1 species